rnacentral:rRNA from 1 species
AUUGAACGCUGGCGGCAGGCCUAACACAUGCAAGUCGAGCGGAGCGGCGGCAGGGUGAGUAAUGCCUAGGAAUCUGCCUGGUAGUGGGGGAUAACGUCCGGAAACGGGCGCUAAUCCCGCAUACUAUCAGAUGAGCCUAGGUCGGAUUAGCUAGGUGGUGGGGUAAAGGACUACCAAGGCGACGAUCCGGAACUGGUCUGAGAGGAUGAUCAGUCACACUGGAACUGCGACACGGUCCAGCCUCCUACGGGAGGCAGCAGUGGGGAAUAUUGGAAAAUGGGCGAAAGCCUGAGCCAGCCAUGCCGCGUGUGUGAAGAAGGUCUGCGGAUUGUAAAGCACUUUAAGUUGGGAGGCGUUACCAACAGAAGAAGCACCGGCUAACUUCGUGCCAGCAGCCGCGGUAAUAC